rnacentral:sRNA from 1 species
ACACGGAAAGGAGGUGGUCCAAGAAGUGAUUUCCCAUUGGACGCGUGAGGUGACUGGGCGCUAGCGCGCUCGAUGCGCGAGAGCGCAAUCCACACCAGCUCACCGCAGCCCGCGGACCGCGGCGGUCGUCCCCGUCGCGCGGCACCACCUCCUCACCGAGGGUCGGCCAGGUCCGCGGGCUGUUCCUC